CGGACGGGUGAGUAAUACGUAGGUAAUCUACCCCUUAGUUUGGAAUAACCAGCUGAAAAGCUGGCUAAUGCCGGAUAAGACCACGGCCACCAUGGUGGCUGCGGCCAAAGAUGGCCUCUACAUGUAAGCUAUCGCUUGGGGAUGAGCCUACGCACCAUUAGCUUGUUGGUGAGGUAACGGCUCACCAAGGCUAUGAUGGUUAGCUGGUCUGAGAGGAUGAUCAGCCACACUGGGACUGAGACACGGCCCAGACUCCUACAGGAGGCAGCAGUGGGGAAUUUUGCGCAAUGGGGGAAACCCUGACGCAGCGACGCCGCGUGAGUGAUGAAGGCCCUCGGGUCGUAAAGCUCUGUCGAAGGGGAAGAAACGGGUGUGCGGUUAAUACCCGCACGCCUUGACGGUACCCUUCAAGGAAGCACCGGCUAACUCCGUGCCAGCAGCCGCGGUAAUACGGAGGGCGCGAGCGUUGUUCGGAAUUACUGGGCGUAAAGAGCGUGUAGGCGGCUGACUAAGUCUGGUGUGAAAGCCCGGGGCUUACCCCCGGAAGUGCGCUGGAAACUGGUCAGCUAGAGUAUGGGGAGAGGAAAGCGGAAAUUCCUGGUGUA
rnacentral:rRNA from 1 species